UUUGUAGAUGGAUACUCAAACAAGAAUAUACUAAUAUAGUAAGUGCGACAGAAGAAAAGGGGUGUGUGUUCGAGGAGCCACGGGGUGUCCUUGGGCUUGCUUGGACAUGCCCCGUGCUGCCCAUACAUCCAAACCCGCGGCAUGUUUUCACAUCAAGAAAACCACGAGGUCAGGAAUCAUUAAACCAACGGACAGUGUAUGCAAAGAAGACAGGCACCUGCAGAACAAAUGAAUGACCGUUGGAGAGGUGGUGGAAGCUGUAAUUACCUCUGCACAGGUGGGAGCCGAUCCUCACACGCCUUGAGCCUGAGCUGGAUAAUCAUCAUAUCAUGGAAGUAGAAGGGCCUGACCGAGCAGGCACAGAUAUGCAGCUGUUUGGCAAAGGAAUGGAAAUGUUCUUUUUAUUAUCUCUCCAUUGAGUUUUAUUGGUACAUUCAAAGUGAAGUCUGGAAAGCAAUUAUAAAAAGUUUUUGUGAUGUUAUUGGAAAUAUUUUCUCAGUCAGUUGGGACUUUGGACUUGUGUGAUUAUAAACAGGUUCUCUGAAACCCUUGUGGCUUGUUUCCUCUUGAAGUGACGCUCAUUCUUGACCCUUGAGCACAAAAUAUGGCUUUAUUGCGAACAUGUGAGAUAAAAUUUUCCCCUUGAGUUGACCAAUAUGAGAGAUGUUUAGAGAUGUGAAGAGGUGAAAGCAUCCAACAUUACAUAAGUUUCCUUUUUCAAUCUAAAAAAAACUUGGUGUUAUUUCACGCCAACUAUUAUAGAUUAAUUCAGAAUAAGAUGCUUUUAUUUUAGCUUUUUAAUAUCUACUUUUGUACCCAGGUGCAUUGCAGGUUUCCUGUGCCAUUCUUGCUCUGAUGACCCCUCAGUGUUUUGACAUUGUAGCUUCUUUUAUUUAUAGGCAGAAAGUCUCUAAGUUGCCAGAGCACUGAGCGCUUUUACCACGCACUACAAGAGCCUGAAAAAUAAACUUUUUAAAAUUCUGUGUAUGAGCAGGUUUGAGGUUUGUGAGGAGUCACAGUGAGGUGUGAUAGGUUAAAAGGUUAAAGUGUAGAAGCUAAAGCAUUUAAAAAAUGAUACAGCAUGAGCAAAGGGCAGACAGCUUCUCCUUUCCCCCCACGGUGUCUCCUCUGCUCUAUGAGAUCAGUGUGCUCUGGAUCUCAGGCCAGUGCUCUGAGCUUAGACUCAUAGGUCAGAUGGUUAUAGUGGUAUCACAGUGAGGACAGAGAAUCAAUACUGAACUAACUGGCUGGGCUGGGAACAACUGGCAGGCUGCAGGUUAGAGGCAUGCUCUGCUCAGCGGUGGCACUCCUCUGAUUUAUUGCAGUUGUUAAAGAGAAAAUUGAGUCAGAAGAUUUUCAUUUAAUGGCAUGCUAGUCUAUGGCUGUGCUCUAAUACUGCACUUGACCUUCAGUUUCAGAUAGGAAUCAAAAAGUGAAGUAAGUACUGUGGUGGUCUGAAAACGUAUCUGCACCUAUGCACUCUAAUCAAUGGGAAUGUUCUUACUAGUUCAAGCAAACAUAUAGGUUUCAUGUCAGGGUAUUUUUGAAUAAACAUGAACACACUCAGUUUUCUGUUCAGGAUUGAGAGAAGAUCAUGCUCAUUGUUGAGUCUUGCUUUGUUCCUGUGAAGGUAAUGAUAGCCCUGCAACUCCACCUGCUGGACAAAACCUGUAACUGCAAAGAAUUUACAUUAAAACCUAGUCAAGACUGGUCACAAGCCAGUCCCAUCAUUUAAUUUUUGGUUUCAAGGUACUGGGGGAAUUUAUUGCCUGAGUGGAAAGUACAGAAAAAUAAAUCUCACUGUUAUGAAA